AUUGAACGCUGGCGGCAGGCUUAACACAUGCAAGUCGAGCGAGCGGCGGACGGGUGAGUAAUGUCUGGGAAACUGCCUGAUGGAGGGGGAUAACUACUGGAAACGGUAGCUAAUACCGCAUACCAUCAGAUGUGCCCAGAUGGGAUUAGCUAGUAGGUGGGGUAAUGUCUCACCUAGGCGACGAUCCCUAGCUGGUCUGAGAGGAUGACCAGCCACACUGGAACGGAGAAACGGCCCAGAUUCCGACGGGAGGCAGCAGUGGGGAGUAUGGCACAAAGGGCGAAAGCCUGAUGCAGCCAUGCCGCGUGUGUGAAGAAGGCCUUCGGGUUGUAAAGCACGUGCAGCGGGGAGGCGUUACUCGCAGAAGAAGCACCGGCUAACUCCGUGCCAGCAGCCGCGGUAAUAC
rnacentral:rRNA from 1 species